rnacentral:rRNA from 1 species
UACGUAGGGUGCGAGCGUUAAUCGGAAUUACUGGGCGUAAAGUGUGCGCAGGCGGCCGCGCAAGUCGAGUGUGAAAUCCCCGAGCUUAACUUGGGAAUUGCGCUCGAAACUACGGAGCUGGAGUGUGGCAGAGGAAGGUGGAAUUCCACGUGUAGCGGUGAAAUGCGUAGAUAUGUGGAGGAACACCGAUGGCGAAGGCAGCCUUCUGGGCCAACACUGACGCUCAUGCACGAAAGCGUGGGGAGCAAACAGG